rnacentral:hammerhead_ribozyme from 1 species
AUUCAGUUGACGUGUCUCAACUAAGACGAAACACGUGUCCUGUAU